rnacentral:rRNA from 1 species
CUUGCUUCUCUUGAGAGCGGCGGACGGGUGAGUAAUGCCUAGGAAUCUGCCUGGUAGUGGGGGAUAACGUUCGGAAACGGACGCUAAUACCGCAUACGUCCUACGGGAGAAAGCAGGGGACCUUCGGGCCUUGCGCUAUCAGAUGAGCCUAGGUCGGAUUAGCUAGUUGGUGGGGUAAUGGCUCACCAAGGCGACGAUCCGUAACUGGUCUGAGAGGAUGAUCAGUCACACUGGAACUGAGACACGGUCCAGACUCCUACGGGAGGCAGCAGUGGGGAAUAUUGGACAAUGGGCGAAAGCCUGAUCCAGCCAUGCCGCGUGUGUGAAGAAGGUCUUCGGAUUGUAAAGCACUUUAAGUUGGGAGGAAGGGUUGUAGAUUAAUACUCUGCAAUUUUGACGUUACCGACAGAAUAAGCACCGGCUAACUCUGUGCCAGCAGCCGCGGUAAUACAGAGGGUGCAAGCGUUAAUCGGAAUUACUGGGCGUAAAGCGCGCGUAGGUGGUUUGUUAAGUUGGAUGUGAAAUCCCCGGGCUCAACCUGGGAACUGCAUUCAAAACUGACUGACUAGAGUAUGGUAGAGGGUGGUGGAAUUUUCCUGUGUAGCGGUGAAAUGCGUAGAUAUAGGAAGGAACACCAGUGGCGAAGCGACCACCCUGGACUAAUACUGACACUG